AUUGAACGCUGGCGGCAGGCCUAACACAUGCAAGUCGAACGGUAACAGGAAGACGCUUGCUUCUUUGCUGACGAGUGGCGGACGGGUGAGUAAUGUCUGGGAAACUGCCUGAUGGAGGGGGAUAACUACUGGAAACGGUAGCUAAUACCGCAUAACGUCGCAAGACCAAAGAGGGGGACCUUCGGGCCUCUUGCCAUCGGAUGUGCCCAGAUGGGAUUAGCUAGUAGGUGGGGUAACGGCUCACCUAGGCGACGAUCCCUAGCUGGUCUGAGAGGAUGACCAGCCACACUGGAACUGAGACACAGUCCAGACUCCUACGGGGGGCAGCAGUGGAGAAUAUUGCACGAUGGGCGCAAGCCUGAUGCAGCCAUGCCGCGUGUAUGAAGAAGGCCUUCGGGUUGUAAAGUACUUUCAGCGGGGAGGAAGGGAGUAAAUUUAAUACCUUAGCUCAUUGACGUUACCCGCAGAAGAAGCACCGGCUAACUCCGUG
rnacentral:rRNA from 1 species